UUGGGUCCAUAUAUGUUUUUUUUUACUGAAGGGUCCAUAUAUGUUAUUUAUGUACAUAUAUGUAUGUACCUAUAUAUAUAAAGAUAGUGUAAUUAAUAUUUCAUACUUGCAAGAGCCUCAGGCACUGUAUGAGAAAUGAGGUGGCUCUGUUCCUUCUUCUCUCCCUUGAAGAAACUAUGGGUUCGCGUCAAUUCUGCUCAAAAGAAGAGAAGAGGAUUAUACAUAUUAUACGAGGACGUGAAGUCAUGUCCAUACGAAGAUGUGCAUGUUCUGUGGUCUAUACUCGUGGAGUCUCACCCACACACUUAGCAACCCAAACAAUAAAACUCCAUUCAUUAUUGAUGCGUAGCUUUCGUUUUGGUUCAGCGAGUUUAUAUAUGGAAUGUUCAUGCUCAAGGACGAAACAAAUGAGAAACUUGUUAGCGACAUGAUUCAUAUAUAUGUUUUCUCUCACUUGUACAUAAUAAUAUAAAUACACAGAGAUUCUCUUUCCCAUAAGGUUCAUGUU